CGUAGUCGAUGGGAAACAGGUUAAUAUUCCUGUACUUGGUGUUACUGCGAAGGGGGGACGGAGAAGGCUAUGUUGGCCGGGCGACGGUUGUCCCGGUUUAAGCGUGUAGGCUGGUUUUCCAGGCAAAUCCGGAAAAUCAAGGCUGAGGCGUGAUGACGAGGCACUACGGUGCUGAAGCAACAAAUGCCCUGCUUCCAGGAAAAGCCUCUAAGCAUCAGGUAACAUCAAAUCGUACCCCAAACCGACACAGGUGGUCAGGUAGAGAAUACCAAGGCGCUUGAGAGAACUCGGGUGAAGGAACUAGGCAAAAUGGUGCCGUAACUUCGGGAGAAGGCACGCUGAUAUGUAGGUGAAGUCCCUUGCGGAUGGAGCUGAAAUCAGUCGAAGAUACCAGCUGGCUGCAACUGUUUAUUAAAAACACAGCACUGUGCAAACACGAAAGUGGACGUAUACGGUGUGACGCCUGCCCGGUGCCGGAAGGUUAAUUGAUGGGGUCAGCGCAAGCGAAGCUCUUGAUCGAAGCCCCGGUAAACGGCGGCCGUAACUAUAACGGUCCUAAGGUAGCGAAAUUCCUUGUCGGGUAAGUUCCGACCUGCACGAAUGGCGUAAUGAUGGCCAGGCUGUCUCCACCCGAGACUCAGUGAAAUUGAACUCGCUGUGAAGAUGCAGUGUACCCGCGGCAAGACGGAAAGACCCCGUGAACCUUUACUAUAGCUUGACACUGAACAUUGAGCCUUGAUGUGUAGGAUAGGUGGGAGGCUUUGAAGUGUGGACGCCAGUCUGCAUGGAGCCGGCCUUGAAAUACCACCCUUUAAUGUUUGAUGUUCUAACGUGGACCCGUGAUCCGGGUUGCGGACAGUGUCUGGUGGGUAGUUUGACUGGGGCGGUCUCCUCCUAAAGAGUAACGGAGGAGCACGAAGGUUGGCUAAUCCUGGUCGGACAUCAGGAGGUUAGUGCAAUGGCAUAAGCCAGCUUGACUGCGAGCGUGACGGCGCGAGCAGGUGCGAAAGCAGGUCAUAGUGAUCCGGUGGUUCUGAAUGGAAGGGCCAUCGCUCAACGGAUAAAAGGUACUCCGGGGAUAACAGGCUGAUACCGCCCAAGAGUUCAUAUCGACGGCGGUGUUUGGCACCUCGAUGUCGGCUCAUCACAUCCUGGGGCUGAAGUAGGUCCCAAGGGUAUGGCUGUUCGCCAUUUAAAGUGGUACGCGAGCUGGGUUUAGAACGUCGUGAGACAGUUCGGUCCCUAUCUGCCGUGGGCGCUGGAGAACUGAGGGGGGCUGCUCCUAGUACGAGAGGACCGGAGUGGACGCAUCACUGGUGUUCGGGUUGUCAUGCCAAUGGCACUGCCCGGUAGCUAAAUGCGGAAGAGAUAAGUGCUGAAAGCAUCUAAGCACGAAACUUGCCCCGAGAUGAGUUCUCCCUGACCCUUUAAGGGUCCUGAAGGAACGUUGAAGACGACGACGUUGAUAGGCCGGGUGUGUAAGCGCAGCGAUGCGUUGAGCUAACCGGUACUAAUGAACCGUGAG
rnacentral:rRNA from 1 species